CUGCUCACAUUUUGGUGCUAGAAUACCUCUGCGACAAAGGGCAAGCUCCCUCGUAGAUUCCUAAACCGGAACAGGACUGAAGGCGAUGGAAGACCGCCACCGACUGGAGUUGAGCGGAUAGCUCGAAGAGUGUGUUGAAGCGACUUUCCAUCCACUAUAGACUUUGAAAAAGAGCCUUUGACCGUCUGGAUCGAACGUUCAGCCAGGCCGUUUGAUUACGGGUAAAACGGACUGGAUGUAUGAUGAGAUAUGUUGAGGCCCCGAGUGAAUGCCCAAAAUUCUGCACUGCCAAAUUGUGGACCGUUGUCGGACAAAAGGUAUUCCGGAACGCCAAAAUCAGUGAAGAUUUUGUCUAGCUCGUCGAUGGUGGUGGGACUGGUUGUUGAAGUCAUGGUGACUACACAAAGCCACUUGCUGAAGUAAUCCACCAACAAAAAAUAAUCCUUUCCUGCUAACUGAAAAAAUCCAUGGCCACGCGUUGAAACGGGUAUUCCGGAACUAAUGAUGGAUACAACUGCUGGGCCGGAUUGUGAUGGCGCCGUUCUUGACAGAUGCUACAUUCAGUAACUAGAUUACGGAUUUGUUUGGUGUACCUGGCCAAUACACCACCGACUUGGCUCUUUCCAAGCAUUUGGUCUCUCCAAAAUGACCACCAUGAAUCAGUUUCAAGAUGUCCUGCCGAAGGCUAAAUGGGACCACCAAUUGAUGACUUCGAAGGAGUAAACCACCUGCCGUAGACAAAUCCGCUCUCUCUGACCAGAACGGCUUGGCUGGAACAGGGCAAUCUCUUUUAUGAUCGGGCCACCCCUUUUCAACGAGGCCGACCACCAACUGCAAGGUGGGAUCUUCAUUACUGGCUCUUGCAUAUUUUUCUUUAGCCGACUGCUCCAGAACUACAUAACUCAGCAAAGCAUGUACGUGUUCCUCAAGGCACUGGGACACGUCCGUAAAAUACUCGCGCGGCUCCGGGGCUCUGCUCAGCGUGUCGGCAAGAUACAGCUCCUUAUCAGGUUUGUAAAGAAGGUGAAAACUGUAUACUUGAAGCUGAAGGCGCAUACGCUGAAUUCUAGGGGUACACAGACCAAUUGGCUUGUCAACGAGACCCGCCAGGGGUUUGUGAUCCGUUUCGACAGUAACUUCGUUCCCGUAGACAUAAUGAUGGAAAUGUUGCAACCCAAACUGAACUGCUAGUAGUUCUUUUUCAAUUUGGGCGUAUCGACGCUGCAUUUCGGUCAACGUGCGUGACGCAAACUCGACGGGUUGACCUUCCUGAAGUAAAACAGCUCCGAUCCCAUAAGGAUACGCGUCUACUGAAACUGUCACGGCCGAAGCGGGGUCAAACAACUGUAAAACAAGCGUAUAACCAACUAACUCCUUCACUGACUGAAAAACUCGAGCCCUUCCUUUGUCACAAACCCAUUCCACAUCGCUUUUCAGUAAGUCACGCAACGGCUUCACGAUGGGUGACAAAUUUUCACAGAACUUGGACAAAUAGUUAAUCAUCCCAAGCAGCCGUUGAAGAAGGCCUUUAUAGCUGCAACUUUGGCGGGAUCUGGCUUUAACUGCCGAUAGGAGAUGACAUUUCCGAUCCAAGGCAGCUCAGCUCAGAUUGUAGAAAUCUGCACUUUUUUUGCGUUAAGCUUUAGAUGGAUUUUGAGGCACCUGUCAAAAACCACCUUCAGUCGUCGGUCAUGUUCCUCUCUAGUAAUACCCCACACAAAGAAGUCAUCAAAGUAGAUCUUGACGCCUUCGAGAUCCCCGAAAAACUGUUCCAUGGUCUGCUGAUACGCUUCUGGCGCAGAGCAGAUUCCAAACGGUAAAUGCAAAAACCAAUAACGGCCAAAAGGCGUCGCGAAAGUGGUCACGUAACUAGACGUUUCAGACAACGGAAUUUGCAAGAAACCAGAAGUCGCGUCCAGCGUGGAAAAAUACUUUGUGUUACCUAUUCGAGCGAACAGCUCUUGUGCCGUUGGGACCAGGUAGUGUUGACGCUUGACUUCCUUGUUCAGAUCGACAGGGUCAAGGCAGAUGUGAACGUCUCCUCCAGUCCUUUGAACUGCCAGCAUCGGAUUCAACCACUCCGUUGGCUAGGUAACCGACGCGGAGGCCGAACCACAGGCACGUUAUUAUCUUUCAAAUUGAUGUCGUGUUUUACGGGUAACUUGCCGAUGCCCUUAAAAACAUGCUGAUAGGCUUGAAACUCAAGUGGCAACUAGUUUCUUUCUCGUUGCUAUCCUUCAUCUCAUCGACCUGUUACUUUGGAGAAGUCUGAACAAGACCUAGGUCACGAUAGCUGGGCAGGCCCAAAAUUGGCACCUUGUCGUCUUCAAUUACAACCACUCGCAUGAUGUAUCGCUUCUUCUGAUAGCAUGCCGUUACAUUUUGUUGGCCAAGAACGUUUAAGGACUGGCCACUGUAUGUUCGAACUUGAGGGCCCGGCUUGAGGUCAGACUUGGAGCGAUUGACUUUGUUGAACAAGCUGUGAGAAAACACGUUGCAUGAGGCACCGGUGUCUACUUUGAAGGCUCAAAGAAUUUUAAUGACCGUUUUCAACAAUUGAGUCACGUUGUGCGUCAUACUCACACGUUGCGAUGAGGGACUGAAGUUCUAGCAAAAACGACUCACACGACUCACCCUCCCGUUGAUGACGAGUGAGAAACUUGUAGCGUUCAAAAGUUUGACUUUUCCUUGGCUGGAAAUGAUUGUCAAACUUGGCUAGAACUGGAGCAAUCUUGCACGCGUCGUUAGCUACUGCUGACCACGUGAACGUUUCGUAGAUUCGAAGACCCUCGAGGCGUAACUACGGUCCAUUUUGAAGGAAGAUUGCCAUAAAAUGUGAAGGAUGACGGCGGAUGUAAAUCACUUGCCAUGCUGACUAGACGUGCAAUCAAUUGACUUUACUUCUGACACCAUGUAGUGGACUUGACUGUCCAAUUAUGACUGAGGACUAGUCUCCUUGUAUUUUGGUCUGCUUGUCACUAGUGGGGCUGGCUGAUAUACAUCAAUUUCAGGCACUUUUGAAGAUCACUUGCAAGAUAUUGGAGAAUUUUUUACCUUAUAGAGCAGUAAAACAUCCAGCGUUGUGCGUUUUCCACAAAUACGAAAAUCUCAUUU